AGUCGGGUGAAAACAUGCAGUGAGCCCGGGUGCCAGUCUCGACAGGAAGGUUGUUAUAAAUGACAAGAAGUUAUUUAUUUAAUUUAGUCGCUCCCUCAGCCACUGUAGUAGCCUAAACACCCUUUCAGCAACCAAAAAAUAUAAAUACUAAUAUUAAAAAUGCUACAUGCAUUAAUAACCUCAGUUUGUGAAAAGGGUCCAUAACUAGGAUCUGCUUGAACUUACUCGCUUAAACCAAAUAUGGCUAAAAAAGGAAUGCAUCACCAUUAUACAAGUCCUAACAAGUAAUCUGUAAAGUUCUGCAUUUAUUUCCUCUGUGGAAAAAUGUGACUUAGUGAAACAUUAGCUGUGACCAACUUACUGAAUCAAGAACCUAUAUUGCCAUUUCCCUUUGACUUUUUGGUUGUUAAACACAGUUUAAUCAUCAGUGGUAAUUUUUUGUUACCUACAGCACUUAAAUUCCUCAUGGCUCGGUAUUUUAUUGCUUACUCUAUCAUGAGUAAUAUGUUUUUGCUCAUCCUCAUAAGGCUGCUCUUACAAUAAUAUAGUCUGGCUGACCCUUUUGUUCAGAGUCUAUGAGUCUUAAAUAUUACUCUGCCCUCACUGUUGUUCAUUCUUUUCCAGCUGAUUAUGCUGGUCCUCAAAAUAAAUACUUGUUCUCAAGUUAAUUUUACCACUGGGGCCUUGACUGUUCCCAGCUGUCCCUCCUCCCAUCCACUCUCGAAUUGGUCCCUGACCAUACAUGGUCUUAGUUGAAGAAAGCGGCAGGCCAUGAGAGCUGUAGGAAGAAGUGAUCUGCCACUCAAACAAGGCUGUGUGUGAAAGGGAGGACCCUGUGACUCGGUAGCGCUGGCCAUGUUACUCCUCCACCACAAAAAUUUACACUGUAAUACCGUGGAGCUAAAAAUGGGUGAGGAACUAAACUCAGAAACAGAAACUUCACCUAAACUGUGUGUUUCACUCAGCUUGUAAUGACUUGAAUUCACUGUAAAGACACAAAUAGGUGUUUCUGGGUGUGGAAGUUGAAAUACUCUUUCUGUUACAGGUGCCAGAUGUCUUUCUGCACUGCCACACUUUCUCGGGCAACAGAGGUGAAGUAUGGAGCAUGUGGAAAUUCCCCUUCAGAAAUCCACUGACAGCAUUCACCGGGUCUACACUCAAAGUGAAUGGCGCCGGCACCACCAUGGAGGUUUCACCUCCUGCCAAAGAAUGCACAACCAGGGCUGAAACACAACGGGACUUAAACUUAAAUGUCUGACAGACAAGAUGGCAUGAGAUUCCAAUUGGCUGUUCUUCCUGUUCCCGUCACAUCCUAAAACCUUUACUGAAUGUUUUUAAAGAUUUUAUGGUUGUAAACGACUGACUUGACAUUGAAUAAAAACACUGUAUAUGAACUGUUCCUCUCCUAAAUAUAUAAAAA